rnacentral:rRNA from 1 species
UACGUAGAGCGCAAGCGUUAUCCGGAAUUAUUGGGCGUAAAGAGCUCGUAGGCGGUUUGUCGCGUCUGCUGUGAAAGACCGGGGCUCAACUCCGGUUCUGCAGUGGGUACGGGCAGACUAGAGUGAUGUAGGGGAGACUGGAAUUCCUGGUGUAGCGGUGAAAUGCGCAGAUAUCAGGAGGAACACCGAUGGCGAAGGCAGGUCUCUGGGCAUUAACUGACGCUGAGGAGCGAAAGCAUGGGGAGCGAACAGG